GAUGAACGCUAGCUACAGGCUUAACUCAUGCAAGUCGAGGGGAAACGAUGAGAGAGCUUGCUCUCUUAGGCGUCGACCGGCGCACGGGUGAGUAACGCGUAUCCAACCUACCCAUUACAGGGGGAUAACCUUGCGAAAGUAAGACUAAUACCCCAUGGCAUUUUAUGGUGGCAUCAUUAUAGGAUUAAAGAUUUAUUGGUAAUGGAUGGGGAUGCGUCUGAUUAGCUUGUUGGCGGGGUAACGGCCCACCAAGGCAACGAUCAGUAGGGGUUCUGAGAGGAAGGUCCCCCACAUUGGAACUGAGACACGGUCCAAACUCCUACGGGAGGCAGCAGUGAGGAAUAUUGGUCAAUGGGCGAGAGCUUGAACCAGCCAAGUAGCGUGCAGGAUGACGGCCCUAUGGGUUGUAAACUGCUUUUAUAGGGGAAUAAAGUGAGCUACGUGUAGUUUAUUGCAUGUACCCUAUGAAUAAGGACCGGCUAAUUCCGUG
rnacentral:rRNA from 1 species